GUCGAGGAUCGCGAUUCCUUGGACGAGGCUAAGCGGAGCUCUCCUGAUUACCGAGUGACAGGUUUUGCUAGUUUGCAACUGUGAUAUGCUUUUUUAAUAUGGCGACAAGAAGAAUGAGGGCAACAACUUCUAAAUCAAGUGGUGUAACUCCUAAUGAGGUCGAAUCAGAGUUAACCUGCUAUUGUGGUCUUCGAUCACCACUUCUUAUU